rnacentral:rRNA from 1 species
UACGUAGGAGACGAGCGUUGUCCGGAAUCACUGGGCGUAAAGGGCGCGUAGGCGGCCUGCUAAGUCGGAUGUGAAAUCCCUCGGCUCAACCGAGGAACUGCAUCCGAUACUGGCGGGCUUGAAUCCGGGAGAGGGAUGUGGAAUUCCAGGUGUAGCGGUGAAAUGCGUAGAUAUCUGGAGGAACACCGGUGGCGAAGGCGGCAUCCUGGGCCGGUAUUGACGCUGAGGGAGCGAAAAGCCAGGGGAGCCAAACGGG